rnacentral:rRNA from 1 species
UACGGGGGGGCAAGCGUUGUUCGGAAUUAUUGGGCGUAAAGAGCUCGUAGGCGGUUUGUCGCGUCUGCUGUGAAAACUCGAGGCUCAACCUCGGGCUUGCAGUGGGUACGGGCAGACUAGAGUGCGGUAGGGGUGACUGGAAUUCCUGGGUGUAGCGGUGGAAGUGCGGCAGAUAUCAGGAGGAACACCGAUGGCGAAGGCAGGUCACUGGGCCGCAACUGACGCUGAGGAGCGAAAGCAUGGGGAGCGAACAGGG